rnacentral:lncRNA from 10 species
GCAAACGGCACAAAUUCCCGGGAUGCCAGCCCAGCAGGAGAGUCCCUGGUGCUCUUCCAGCUCUCCACAGCAGUUUGAAAAGCCCAGGCUUCUCAUUUCCAGAUUAGGGGCUGCUGGGACCUUGAGAGAGACAGACCUGGGGGGAGUCCAGACUCUGCCUUUACUGUCUGUGUGAUUUCGAGCAGGUCUCUCUCCUAUAAAAUGUGAAACAUGCAGUCAAAUGUGACCGGGUGACUGUGAGGAUUCAGUGAGAUAAUGCACAGUGAGGCUUGGCAUGCAGAUGCACAGUCAGCCCUGACACACUCUUAUUUUCUUUGCUGUCAGGGUCAUAUUCGGGAACAGGAAUGGGGUUUAAUAGGGCUCUUGAGAAAGCAAGAAUGAAACAGGAAAUCUGGAAACCUGGGCCCAGGCUCCAGCGCUGGCUGAUUAAGGGUCUGGGCAAGGUUAUCCCAUGUCUCACCCCUGUGGUCUCCAUACAGGUAAACAGAGGGGCUUGAAUUCCAUGACCCCUAAAGUGCCUUCUGGCUCCAAUAUUCUGUGAUUCGUGACUCUGAGCAAACAUCAUUUUUUUACUGGACUCCAUUAAAUGGAGGAACCAGGGCUGGCUCAAGCCUGUAAUCCCAGACCAGCCUGGCCAACAUGGCGAAACCCCGUCUCUACUAAAAAUACAAAAAUUAGCUGGGCGUGGUGGCGGAUGUCUGUAAUCCCAGCUAUUUGGGAGGCUAAAGCAGGAGAAUCGCUUGAACCCAGGAGGCGGAGUUUGCAAUGAGCUAAGAUUGCACCACUGCAUUCCAGCCUGGGCAACAGAGCAAGACUCUGUCUCAAAAAAAAAAAAAAAAAAAAAAAAAGAGGAACCAGGAGGCCAGGGCCUAUCAGACUUCACAAAGGAGAUUCUCUCAGAGGUUUUCUGCAUAGACUUGGUGGGUGCUUGUGAGUUAAGUAGGGAUGUCCUCACACAGUGGCAAGCUGGUCAGUGAUUCUGAAACCCAGCUGUGCCCCAUGUCCCCAGGGGAUCCAAGCACAGAUUCUCAGACCACCUCAUGCCUAUUGGUUUAGAAUCUCUAAGGGUGUGCUCAGGAGUCAGUAUUUUUGUUGUUGUUUUAGAGACAGUGUCUUUCUCUGUCACCCAGGCUAGAGUGCAGUGCAUAAUCAUGGUUCACUGCAGCCUUGAACUUCUGGGCUGAAGUGAUCUUUCUGCCUCCGCCUUCCAAGUAGCUAGGACUACAGACACUGGCUACCAUGCCAAGCUAAUGUGUUUUUAGUUUUUGUAGAGAUGAAAUCUCACUAUGUUUCUCAGGCUGGUCUGAAACUGGCCUCAGGCGAUCCUCCUGCCUGGGCCUCCCAAAGCGCUGGGACUACAGGCGAGAUCCACUGCACCUGGCUAGGAGUUAGCAUUGUUAUCAAUCUCCCAGGUGAUACCGUCAGCUGUAAGGAUGUGCUUUUGGGACUCUCCAAUAGCGCAGGUUCCACAUGGACAGGGAGGAUGCUCUGCUCUCCUGAGUGUCUUAGUAGCGUGGUAGAAAUCACCCCUCAAAGGGGACAUCUUUGAGUGAAAGCGUCCUCAGCUGCCAUGCUCUGCCCUGUCAGGCGUGAGAGCGCUGUGAAGCAGGCAUUGGGAAUUUGCUUCUCAGGGGCUAGGGAAGUGGCACCUUGAAGGCCUGCAACACCCGAUUGGGCCAAAGGAGGAGUAGAAAGAAUGGGAGGGCCUGUAUAGCAAAGCCCCACAGACAGAAAUGUGUGUCCUCACAGUUCUAGAGGCUGGAAGUCCAAGAUCAAGGCAGGCAGGGUUAGUUUCUCCCGAGGCCUCUCUCCGUGGCUCGUAGAUGGCUGUCUUCAUCUGAUGUUUUCAUGUGGUCUUCCAUCUCUGUGUGUCUGUCCCUUAAUCUGUUCUUCUAAGGAUACCAGUCUUAUUGCAUUAGGGCCACCCUGGUGACCUCAUUUAACCUUCCUUACCUCUUUAAUGGCUCUGUCUCCCAACACAGUCACAUCCUGAGGUCCUAGAGGUCAGGACUUCAACACAUGAAUUUUGGGGGGACCCAAUGCAGCUCCUAGCAGGGGCACACAGGGCAGAGUGGAGAAGGGGAAGGGACGUGAGGCUGAAGGGAGAGGUGGGACAAUGUCACACCUGCUCCUUCUGCUCCACGCUUUUCCCAGGCCGGCCUGGCCUCUCCGCUCUGCACCAGCCUCUGAGGAAUCACCACCACCACCGCACUUGGGAGAUGGAAUGCGAUUUUCCAAAGCCCUUUCCUAGUUCUUACUUUACUUAUUCUUUACAACCAUCCUAUAAGACAGGCCAGCAGGGCAGGGGAGGGAUCUAGUGUUAUUUUGUGGAAAAACAAGAGUGUAAAGAAGUGAGCAGCACAUCUGAGAACACCAUGGUUGGCACCAGGUUUCAUGACCCCCAGAAUGGUGUUCUUUCCGUGGCCACACUGAGCACCUGCUACACAUAAGAUGUGCUUUUCCUUGGCUUCCAGCAACUGGGGGUGCAGUGUCCCAGGAGGGCUAAGAGGUCCAAGUGAGAGCUGCCGAGGGAGUGACAAGGGGUGAGGCAAAGAGAUUCCAUUGCUUUUUAAAAAAAUUAUCUCUCGCAUUCUAUCCUGAAAUGGAACUCCUAGGAGACUAAAGCCCAUUUUGUGUAUUUAGCUAAGUGUUUCUCCUUUUUCUCCCUAUUAAAAGCAUGGGGCUUGCCUAAGUCAUUAAAAAUACAUGUUCCAUUUGCUUUGAUGCAGAGGGUGAGAAGAUGGAAGAGCCAAGGGGACCAGGCUAGUCAUGUCUGGCUGCGCCCCUGGAGCCCCAGAGGCUGAUGGCUGAGCUGAUAAUUAGCAGAAGAUCUGGAGGAUCCCAUUCACUCCACACACACUUAACAAGUGCUCACUAUCCUAGCCCCCAAACAAGAUAUAGCUCUGCUGCCACUUCCUGGAACCUGAGGGGGAGACAGUCAAAUAAAUGGAUGAUGACAUGAUGGUGUAGAAAGGCAAGAAGUGGAGAGAUAUACAUUGAGGCCUUCAAUAAUGGCCCAAUAAAGGGGCCAGGAGACAGGGAGGAGAGGAGGGAGUCGAGGUCUAAGGAAAGAGUGGGGCUGGAGAUUAAUGGUUGCACCUAGCUAGGUCACACCUCUGUGUGUGUGUGUGUGUGUGUGUGUGUGUGUGCGUGCACAAACAUGCAUGAGCACACAUGAGCAUGCACGAGCAUGCACUAGCUCUUGUGACGCACAGCACCUGUCCGGGUCCGCAUUCUCUGUGUUCCUUGGAGCCCGAGCCAUGCAGGUGGAAGCUCUGUGAGAUUCACAGAAUUUGCAGCCAGGGCUGGCAGUUCUCAGGGGCCUGAAUGCUGCAAGUGGCUGAUGACCAGUGGGAGAAGAUGCGAGGGAGAGAGGCUGCCGCCCUGAGGGAAGGCUGAUCGGUGACCACCUAUAAGACAAGCUCAACUGCCUAGGAGUUCUCCUGAGACAAGAUGUUGCUGUGCCAUCCAGGCUGGAGUGCAGUGGUGCAAUCACUGCUCACUGCAGUCUGGAACUCUUGGGCUCAACGGAUCCUCCCACCUCAGCCUCCUGAGCUGGGACUACAGGUGUGCACCACCACAUCUGGCUAAUGUGUUUUUUGUUUUUUUUGUGUGUUUUUUUUUAAUAGAGAUAGAGUCUCCCUACGUUGUCCAGGCUGGUCUCUAGCUCCUGGCCUCGAGUGAUCCUCCCACCUUAGCCUCCCAAAGUGCUGGGAUUACAGGCAUGAGCCACUGCACCCGCACCUGGCCUUACAGUUUCUUUCUUUCUUUCUUCUAACCAGGCUCCCAGAAAUAGCGUUGGAUCCUUGAGACAGCCCAUCACCCUAACACCAAUUUCCUUAGCUCAUAGGAUUGAAAGGAGCAAUGGCCCAGAGAAGAGAAAAGCAGAUGGGGCGGAAGGGCUGCUUCUACAGGAGCCGCCCGGGAGGCUCCAGGCUCAUAAUUUAGUGAGAAGGCGAGUCCCCUUGCUCAUCAGUACCUCCCUCCCCGAGGCGGGCACUGGGCCUACAGAGCUUCAACCUUUCCAUCCUCCCAGCAUUGGAUGGGGGCGUCAGAGGAGGCUGGAGAAGCAGGGAGGUGUCCUCCCCUGAGCUGGCCGGGGCCCAGCGGCUGCCCAGGGCCGGGGGUCCACAUGUCAGGGAAGGGCCUGUAGGCCCGGAGUGGGGUUCAGUGGGGGAGCCUGGACUGGCUGCAGGGGCGGCAGUGCAAGCCUGGCUGGCGGCCAGCAGACAGCUUUGUUUUUCCGUGGCAGUUUGCUUGUGAUACUUCUUUCCUGAGACGCCAGCUGACAGGGGGAGGGGAGAGGAGACAGGCGUUAAAAGGGACAGGCUAUGGCCACCUCUGAGAGUGGGAGCCAGUGCUUGGCAAAGCUGCAGGGCAUCACAGACUUUCCCAGGGCAAGGGGACGUCAGCAGAGGAGCAUAAAUGCCAGGAGACAUUUCUCAGACUAUUCUGGCAAAACCUCCCCUGAAGCGAGCCCCGACUUCUGCUGGGAGCCCUAGGAGAGGUGAUGGGUUCAGCUAAAUAAGUGGCCAGGACCUUCCCCAGCUUCGGGCCUUAUCUGGGACUGCCCACCGCCCUUGGACCCGCCUCAGAAGCCAUUCAGACACCUUCACCGCAGUGGGGAGAGCAGCUGCUGGCUAUGAGGUCACCAUGGUGACUGUUGACAGCCGGCAUCCUCAGGCCUGGCCUGGCACGGCCCCGGGGAGCAGAGGGGCUGUAGGCCACAGCCCGCCCACCUGCUGCCUCGGGGCAGCCUGUGAGCAUCGAUCUCCCCCUGGCAGUACCAGUUCAAAAGCAGGGCUCCAAGCGGAGGCAAAUGCUGUCAAAGUGCCCCUCCAGGAGAGCUCUAAGGCAUUACAGACUUAAACUAUUGUCAUUAUAAAUAAAAUCGAACUCAUUACUCAUGAGAUAAUAAAAAUUAUGAUGUUAGAAAAAUCCUGGCCUAGUCAAAAUAUCCUAAUUCUCCACCUGAAUGUCCCCAGAACUUGUGACUCACACCUUUAUCCAGUCUUUCUGAUAUCUUGCUGAAAUCUGUUUUAAGAUUAUUUACUUCUAUUUCUCUGAGGUGCAGGAUGACCAAUAACCUUGCUUCUCAAAAAUCUUCAGCUAUUUUAAGGCGAAUUAAGCCUUCUCUUCUUUAAGCUACAGCAACUUCAAUUACUUUAGCUAGUGCUUUUGUUUUUUUUCUUCUGAGACAGAGUUUUACUCUUUGUUGCCCAGGCUGGAGUGCAGUGGUGUGAUCUCCACUCACUGCAACCUCUGCCUCUCGGGUUCAAGCAAUUCACCUGUCUCAGCCUCCCGAGUAGCUGGAAUUACAGGCGCACGCCACCACGCCCGGCUAAUUUUUGUAUUUUUAGUAGAGAUGGGGUUUUACCAUGUUGGCCAGGCUGGUCUCAAACUCCUGACCUCAGGUGAUCCGCCUGUCUUGGCCUCCCAAAGUGCUGGGAUUACAGGCACGAGCCACCAUGCCCGGCCUAGCUAGUGCUUUUUAAUGACCAAACAUCUUUUUAUUUUAUGUUUUAAUGACCGUGGUAUAUCUGCUCAAUACAUUAAUUUCAAUCGACUUAUUCUGCUCUUAGAAGUCCACUUGCCAAUAAAGACAAGGGAAAAGGAAAAAAGAAUUUGAGGAAAGCAUAGGAAAGUUAUAUGACCAUUUAUCAAGAUGAGAGGACCAGCAGCCAAUUUUUAAAAAAAUGUGUUACUUUUAAUGGUUUUUUUUUUAGAGCAAUUUUUUAUCUCUUUUAAUCAUCUCUAUUGCCCAUCUCUGAAUCCCUUCCAGUUUUCAAUGUUUUUAAGAACGAUGUGGCUGGGCACAGUGGCUCACGCCUGUAAACCCAGUGCUUUGGGAGGCCAAGGCAGGUGGAUCACCUGAGAUCGGGAGUUCGAGACCAGCCUGACCAACAUGGAGAAAUCCCGUCUCUACUAAAAAUACCAAAUUAGCCGGGCAUGGUGGUGCAUGCCUGUAGUCCCAGCUACUUGGGAGGCUGAGGCAGGAGAAUUGCUUGAACCUGGGAUGCAGAGGUUGCAGUGAGCCGGGAUCGCGCCAGCCUGGGCAACAAAAGCGAAACUCCGUUUCAAAAAAAAAAAAAAAAAAAAGGGAUGUUAAGCAAAACGACCCAUUAUUCUAAUCAGGGUUUGAGUUGCUACAUUGUAUCAGAGAAGAACUACUUUCCAAUCUCUGUAAGUCACACAAGUAUACUUUGUUAUAGUCCAGUUAUCAGCUCACUUUGUUUCUUUGCUUCUAACAACACUAACUUGAUAUUUCAUAUUGAGGUUGUGGUCAGCCAGGGCCCCUGAAUUUUUGUUUUUGUUUUCUGUUUUCUAUGCCAGUGCCUGACUAUCAAGUAUCUUGAUAUUAGUAUGGGCUCCCUGCCAUUUCAUUUAGAACUUUGUAAUUGAGGCAUAAUAAACAUGUAUAUAAGAUAACACGUAAUUAUACAACUUGAUACGUUUUCACAAGAAGAAAAUGUCUGUGUAACCACCAUUCAGAUUAAGCAACUUUAUAUUAUCAACAGCCCAGAAGCCCCUCUGCUGUCCUCCUUUACCAUCCUUGCCCCACCCUGAGGAGGUUAACCACUAUCCCGAUUGCUAACACCAUAGAUUAAUUUUGCAUAUUUUUCUUCUUUAAAAUAAUUCAAUCACAUAGUGUGUACUAUUUAGUGUCUGGUUCAUUCACAUUGCCAUUCAUUUCUACUUUCUUUUCUUAUACUUAGCCUUUUCAUAAGCAGGCCUAGAAGGAUCUAGGGGUCUGAGAACCAAGGUGUUUCAACUCCAGACCCAUCUGUUUUGACUAUGGCUAAGUAGCACAGUACCUAUGACAUGCCAGAUCUCUGAAUUAGAAUUUUACUUGAACCAUUUACUGGUUAUGUUGUUCCUUUCACCCUUUGAAAUCAACUACCUCCAUCCUAGGUCAAUUCAUAUUCUUAUAUCAGGGUAACCUUAGAAGAGUGUGUGUGUGUGUGUGUGUGUGUGUGUGUGUGUGUGUCACUGCUUUAGCCCCAUGGGAAAUUAUUUCUGCUAUUAUGAGGGAAAUGAUUGUUGAGAGUUGUGGUUAUGUUAGGGAAGUCUUUAUUUCAGGUGUUCAAUUCAGCAUUUAAUUCCUAGUUGUCGUUGCUGCCAAUACGUUAUAGGAGUGGCAGGUCUCAGAGGCAGGGGAAUUAUGUGUGUGCAAUGCCUCAGAGCAGUGUUUCCUGACCUUUUCCGUAAGUGCCACGGUAAAACAUGAUCAUAUUUAUAUGGCAAACUGGCAUAAGUGGAAGAGAUAUUUUUGUAGUAGUAGCUGAUAACACAUAAGACAAUGUUCUACAGCUACUCAAAUCUUUAUAUUUAUGUAUUUACUUAUAGAUAAAUAUUAUAUGUAACAUAAUAGAAGUAUAUUAUAUGUAACAUAUAUAUGUAUAUUAUAUAUACAUAUACAUAUAAUAUUAUAUGUAACAUAAUAGAAGUGUAUUCAAAUAUAUUUGCAAAUAUAGUUAACAGAUAUUUGUAUUUAAGGAAUGCAAGCUUUUUCUUUUCUUUGUGUCAUAUGCAAUGUUGGACUUUUGUGUGCAUGCCUACAUGAAUAGAAUUUCAAAUCCAAACUAAUUUAUUUUGCAUCAAUUAUUUCAGAAUAAAGAAGUUCUCGUUUUCAGAAUACACACACAUUGUUAGAGCGGUGCUUCAGCAACUAUCUUGGAUGUCACCAAAGGGGCACAUCACUCAAAAUCACAACAGAAAUCUCCCAUCUGUGUGAAGACAGAGGUAGAGCUGGGCCUGCCAGAAGCCCCUGCCUGCUCCUGACUGGUCUUUGGGCUGUGGGCCAUGCUCCCUGGGCACGUGGAACACAAGGUCCUCUAGCUGCUUGUGGGCUUCUUGUCCAUGUACAGCAGCUGCAGACUUUGUGGCUGGCUGCUGAAGCCCAUGGCCAGGUGGCGGAGGCAGAGCAACAGGUGGGGGCGGCUGCACAUGGUGCGUGCCGCCUGCAGGACCCUGGACCAUGCCUGCAGACCCCAUGCUCCCUGGCUGCCCUCCCAGGAGCAUUAAGUGAGGCUCCCCCAGCUGCUCGAGGCCCUGCUCAGCUGCCCUGAAGGAUGAGGGGAUCAUCUUGCAUGGCAUGCCUGCAACUCAUUUGCAGCUUUCUAGUUUGCUCACCAUUCAAAACUUUGCUCCUAAGAUGCUUUAGUGACUGAGACCAAAUGCUCUAGAACCUUCCAUGAAGCAAGCUCAUAUGUGCGCCAGUUGAGACUAGGAGAGCUUUGUUGGAUGACUUCCUGAUUAUCUAGUCAGAAGGCUGAUGAAAAGGUGUCUGUAUGAGUGUGGGGCUAAAGACAUUUACACAGGAUGCAGAAAGGUGACUCAGAGAUCCAGGAAAUAUGAAUCAGGCCUGCUGAGAACCCGUGAGGAUUGGCAGUAGUCUGAGAGAAGAGUUUCAUUCUAAAUUCAGCUGGACCACGUCAGGCUGUAUCAGAGAGGUUUGUCAUAGGCAAUUCAAAUACAGCAACUGAGAAGAGUUUUUAAAACAUUUAAUUCUGUUUUUUAGAGACAAGGUCUUGCUCUGUUGCUCAGGCUGGAGUGCAGUGGUGUGAUCAUAGCUCAUUGCACCCCUCAAACUCCUGGACUCAAGAGAUCCUCCUGCCUCAGCCUCCCAAGUAGCUGGGACUCCAGGUGUGUACCACCAUGCCCAGCUAAUUUUUAAGUUUUUUGGUAGAGAAGGGGUCUUGCUGCAUUGCCCAGGCUGGUCUUGAACUCCUUACCUCAAGUGAUCCAUCUAGCUCGGCCUCCCAAAGUGCUGGGAUUACAGGCAUGAACCACCAUGCCUGGCCCAGCAGAGUUUAAUAAAGAAAUUAUUGACAAGAGUUUACAGAGUUAAGAAAAGUCAAAAAUAGUUAAGGAAACACCACAGGAGGAGGGAGCCAUUAUUCCCUCUAGGCUUGAAGAGAAGGAGCAAGGGGAGGGAGCAGGUAUCAGAACCUGGGGAAAGAAACCCUGUGAGGUGGGAGCUGUAAUCUUUGGUACAGUGUUGAGGCCACUGGCAACCUCCAAUCCAGUGGGAAGGAGCAGGUGGAAAAAAUGCUACAACUCACUCUCCUCCUGCCUCCAGUCUCCUGCCAGUGCCUUCCUCUGGCUAAACCCACGUAGCUGCUGAAGACCAUGGCACCCAUUGGUGCAGUCCACAAAGGCCUGCCUGUGGGACAUAGAGUAGAGAGUGGAAAAAAGAGACACCCUGCACUUCACCAUCCACAGAAUGAUGGCAGGUCGCUAACAUCAUGCUCUCAUCUCAAAUCUAAAGUGUUAGCCAUGAUGCUCUUCAUGGGAGGUUUUGGGGUGAAAGUGAAGAAAGAACAUCAAGUAAUUAACAUAGAAGCUGCUACAUGCUAUACCUGCUUCUGAGGCCCAAGUUAGUAAUAGUGGCUUCGUCCCCUUACUGCCUAUUACCUAUUUUCCUAUUCUCUGAUAGUGCCUCAACCGAGCUGGGUUCGUUAUCUUUAUUCCUUCACGAUCAGCAUCCUUGGUGGUCCUGUUGUUAUUGGGUUGCCUCGAUUUUCCACUGAACAGUGAAUUAAGAGAAUACUAAGCACUGGCCUGUAAAUUCCUGGACUCUGCAUAAAGUCUUCCCUGCCCUCAUUGUAUAGUGAGUGGCAAGCAAAUUCCUCCUUUGUAAUCAUAUCAGAUACCUUGGCCAGCAGUGCGAGCCCCAUUUCUGCCUGUUGGAUCAGUAGAAAGAGAGCCUGAAAUGGUUAGAAGGCAGUCUCAGCUUCCCAUUUAACAGAACCUUGGUUGUGUUCCCUUGUUCUUCCCUUGUGCACAAAGACCUGCAAACCCACUGAGCUCAAGUUUGCAAGGAUCAGAAGCAAACACCUCCUAAGAGGAUGCAACAGGUUUGGUGUAGUGGCUUAUGCCUGUAAUCCCAGCACUUUGGGAGGCUGAGGCAGGAGAAUCACUUGAUGCCAGGAGUUUGAGACCAGCCAGGGCAAUGUGGCAAGACCUCCCAUCUCUACAAAACAUACAGAAAAUUAGUCGGGUGUGGUGGUGUGUGCCUAUAGUCCCAGGUACCUGGGAGGCUGAGGUGGGAGGAUCACCUGGGCCUGGGAAGUUGAGGUUGCAGUGAGCUGUGAUCGUGCCACUGCACCACUGCAUUCCAGUCUGGGUGACACAGUGAGACUCUGUCUCAAAAAAUAAAAAAUAAAAAUAAACCCUGUGCUGCACCUUUUUUUUUAAUCUUAAGAUGAGUUUUCUGAUCACAGGCAAUGUGAUCUAUAGUGAUGAAUAGGGCAUUCUAUAGGGACAGUGUUGGUAGAGUGUUAUGAACAGGGAAACCAAAAACAUGUAGAAUAUAGAUCUAUUCAUAUAAGGACCCAUCACUGCCAUACCAUGUUGGAUGGGAUUUACUAUUAGCAAUCUGCCACCAGAUUGAUGGUGACUUCAGCUCAGCGAAUAAUACAGACCAACCCUGACUUAGGAUGGUUCAACUUACUGACUUUUACAAUGGUGCAAAAGUGACACACAUUCAGUAGGAUCUGUACUUCAAUUUUUGAAUUUUGAUCUUUUCCUGGGCUAGCAAUAUGUGGUACAAUACUCUCUUGUGAUGUUGGGCAGAGGCAGCAGCAGCAGCUCCUGGUCAGCCAGGUGAUCACAAGGGUCAACAACCAACACUCUACAGUGCCCUGUGUGGCCAGAUGACUUUGCCCAAUGACAAGCCAAUGUAAGUGUUCUGAGCAUGGUUAAGGUGGGCUAGCCUAUACUAUGAUGUUUGGUAGGUUAGGUGUAUUAAACACAUUUUCAACUUAAGAUAUUUUCAACUUGCAAUGGGCAUAUGGGGACACAACCAGGUCGUAUGUCUAGGAGCAUUGAUGCCAUAUGGGGAACUCAGCACUGACUUCUGUUAUUGGCUGCACAUUGUUAAGACAAUCACAGUCUUCAUCCCAGAGAAGAGGUGGAACAAGCCACCUCGUACAUGGUCUCAAUGAUUAAGUCCAGGGAUGCCCUCUGGUAGGCACUCAUGUAGGACACAAAUGUCUUCACAAUCUGUGUCUAGAUAGUGAAGUCUACCCAGACACCCUUCCCCAGAACUCCUUGUCACCAAUAUUCCAGUCUUGUUCUUCAGUCCUUGACCAGUUGGCCAUCCCAUUAGCGUCUGCUCAUGAUUCUGUGUAAAUCUGUACUCCAGACCAUUUCUCAUUCCAUUUGAAGUGAAUAAUCUGAUAUCCUUCCCAGAAUGCUGCCUACUGGGAUGAUUUUCCUUCACUACUCGCUUUCACAGCCACAGCUGAAUAGGAAUACAGUGACACUGGCCAUCUGCUCCUGGCUGAUGCUGUGUGUCUUUAAACUGGGCCUGGGGUUUCUCUUCAUUAAUUAGUCAUAGGGGAUUCCUACAAAGCCGAAAAUAUAAGUUGUGAGAGAGGCAAGUAGGUAAUAGGGGCAGGUUCCAAGAGUCUGAGCUAUCUGCUUGAAUUAGGUUUUCCAAGAAAUGAAAGCAACAGGACAUGCAUAUAUACAGAAGGAUCUAUUGUAAGGAAUUGGCUCACUCAAUUGUGAAGGCUUGGUGAGUCCAAAAUGUGAUGGUGGUAGGUCAGCGGACUCAGGAAAAGGUUGCAGUUUGAGUCCAAAGACAGUCUGCUGGUGAAUCCCCACUUGCUUGGGAAAGGUCAGCCUUUUGUUCUAUUCAGGCCUUCAACUGCUUGGAUGAGGCCCACCCACAUUAUAGAGGGCAAUCUGCUUUACUAAAUCAAUGGAUUCAAACUUAAUUCUCAUCCAAAAACACCCUCACAUAAACAUCUGGAAUAAUAUUUGACUAAAUAUCUAGGCACUGUGGCCCAGUCAAGUUGACAUAUAAAAUUAGUCAGCAUACUGCUUAUGCAAUUUAUUUGGG